GGAGUUAGCCGGUGCUUCUUCUGCGAGUAACGUCACAGAUGUAAGGUAUUAACUUACACCCUUUCCUCCUCGCUGAAAGUGCUUUACAACCCGAAGGCCUUCUUCACACACGCGGCAUGGCUGCAUCAGGGUUUCCCCCAUUGUGCAAUAUUCCCCACUGCUGCCUCCCGUAGGAGUCUGGGCCGUGUCUCAGUCCCAGUGUGGCUGAUCAUCCUCUCAGACCAGCUAGGGAUCGUCGCCUAGGUGAGCCUUUACCUCACCUACUAGCUAAUCCCACCUGGGCUUAUCCAUCAGCGCAAGGCCCGAAGGUCCCCUGCUUUCCCCCGUAGGGCGUAUGCGGUAUUAGCAGUCGUUUCCAACUGUUAUCCCCCACAAAUGGGCAAAUUCCCAGGCAUUACUCACCCGUCCGCCGCUCGUCAUCUUCAAAAGCAAGCUUUUGAAAUGUUACCGCUCGACUUGCAUGUGUAGCUCGCGCCACGCGUCAUCUGAGCGAGAUACAACUACUGA
rnacentral:rRNA from 1 species